UACGGGGGGGGCAAGCGUUGUUCGGAAUUACUGGGCGUAAAGGGCUCGUAGGCGGCCAACUAAGUCCGACGUGAAAUCCCCAGGCUUAACUUGGGAACUGCGUCGGAUACUGGAUGGCUUGAAUUCGGGAGAGGGAUGCAGAAUUCCAGGUGUAGCGGUGAAAUGCGUAGAUAUCUGGAGGAAUACCGGUGGCGAAGGCGGCAUCCUGGACCGACAUUGACGCUGAGGAGCGAAAGCUAGGGGAGCAAACGGG
rnacentral:rRNA from 1 species